CGGGGCGUAGCGCAGUCUGGUAGCGCGCCUGCCUUGGGAGCAGGAGGCCGUCGGUUCAAAUCCGGCCGCCCCGAC
rnacentral:tRNA from 1 species